rnacentral:lncRNA from 10 species
GCUAACUGCCCUGGAUGUGGAGACCCGCGGACUGGACGUGAGAGGCGGGCAGGGGCAGUUGGGGCAGCUGCCCCUACAACACUGAAGAAUUGGAAUAGGAAAGAGUGUGGGGGUAGGGGACGGGGACUCUUUGUCUGCAGUUGGAAUGCGCGGAGGGGCAUGGUGGAAUGUGUCGCGUCCCGGGACCGGACGACAGGAGGCAUGUUCUGCGCUAGCACCGUGACUUUGUUCCCAGCGUGGGGACUGUGGGAGAGAUGGAGAGAGACUGGUACAGAAAUGGUGAGACAAGGAGAGAGCCAUAAAGAGGAAGACAGAGAGAAAGAAGACAAAUGCAUAAAGAGGUUCAGAGACGUGUACGUAAAGAUAGCCCUGAAAGGCGACGAAGCCCACAGAGAGAGGUGGAAGAGGGAAGAGGUAGCGAAAGAAAGGGAGAGCUGAGGAGCAAAGAGGAGUGUGGACGAUGCAGAGACCGAAGGGUGCGCAGACAAAGGAAAGGACAAGCUUGUCCAGAGAGAAUGAGAGACAAACAGAUAAACUGCAAUAAAAAGGCACCACCUUCUGGACCCAAAAGUUUUGUGAUUUGUAAAAGCAGUGAAAAGGAGUCAGGAAAAUGGGACUAAUCUCUACUUUGAGAGGGAGGGAAAGAGAUAUAGUGUGUAUGUAGAAGCAGUGAAAAGGAGUGAGGAAAAGGUUUGGGACUAAUCUCUACCUUAAGGGUAGGACAGUUAGAGGGAUAGACACCCCCUGGUGUUGGGAAAUGAGAUUUUUCUCAUUUCAGGUGACUGUGGAGAUCGAAGGCCUGGUUUUAGGGCUAGCGAACACCUUCUCCCUUUGGUUUUGGUCCACAGAAGACUGGUGAUACAGAUUGCAUUGUCUCCCUGACCUCAUCUCCCCUGAGAAUCAGCCUCUGUUUCCCUGGUCAAGGCCACGGCUUUUCUCUGAUCCUGAGGAGAGUUUCCUACCAGAGUGGAAGCAGGGAGGACUGAAAGCACUAGGAACAGAGGGGAGCUAUCGGAUUGCAUCUAGAACCUGCUGUGAGCAACAUCUUCAGAAUUAACCAUAAUGUGUUCCCUCCUUUCCUGUGUCCAGAUGAGGAAGGAGAACUUUGAUUCUUCCUUCCAAUUACAUCCAAAAUAUCCACACAACUACUAAUAUUUGGAAGCUUUGAUCCUUUGGGGUGAGGAUGCGAGAGGAAAUCUUAUGAAAUGUUGGGAGGCCAUUAAAGGAGGCCCAUGCAAGAGUUGGUGGUAGCAAUGGGCACAACUGGGAUGAACAGCCUGUGUUUUCAAGGGAUAACUGGAAGCAGAGAUGAGUGAAGGGGAAGAAGUAGAAGACGCAUAUGCUAAUAGGGCAUGCUCCAAUAGUGCUCAUGACCUCAGGUGGCCUCUCCACAGUCUAAACUGGAGCUGGGAUCUCCAAAGGCCCUCUUCGUUCCCAAGACUUUAAUUAUAAUCUGUAUAUGCAGGUGACUCCCUAAUCCAUAUUUCCAGCCCAGUCUUUCUUGGAAUUAAAAACUCAACUAACUACUAGCAUCUCCAAUGGCUGUCUCAGAAGCACCCAAUAUCCUAAACUGAUCUCAUCUUCUCUGCCUCAUGAAACUGGCUCCUCUAACAUUCUCUGAGUAAAUGGCACAAUCCUGUUAGCUGCUUAAACUAGAAAUCUGAGCGUCAACCCUAUGUCCUCCUUCUCCCUUAACCUCAAAUCCAACCAAGUCCUAUCAAUCACCAAGUUCUAUUAAUUCUGCUUCCUAAACAUCUUCCAAAUCUGUCCUCCCCUCAUCACCACUAUAUAUGUCAAGUCACCGUCUUUCCUCUCCGAAACCAAUGCAAAAGUCUCCUGGCCAAGGCUUGCUCCCUGCAAUCCAUCUUAUACCCUGAGGUCAAGUGAUUUUUUUCAGUACAGAAGCUUUACGACUUACAAUGGAGUUAUGUCUGAAUAAACCCAUCCAUUAUAAAUUGAAAAUAUCGUAAGGCAGAAGUGCUUCUUCAACUUCACCAUAUUUUCAGCUUAAAAUGGGUUUAUCUGAUAUAACUGCAUCAUAAGGUGAGGAGCAUACUGAAUCAUUUCGCACCAUCGUAAAGUUGAAAAAUCCUAAGUCGAACCAUCGUUGAGUUGGGGACUGCCUGUAGGCAAAACCUGUCGUUUUAUUUCCCUGCUAAAACAAACUUUCAAUGAUUUCUCACUGCCCUUGGGUUGAAGUCUGUACUCUGUAUUAUGAGGUCUGUCUCACUCUCCAGCCUCUCCUCUAGCAUUAUCCCUUCCCCAAAAGUCUGCAGUAGAACUGGACCUUGUCUGUACUCUCUCUUGCCCCUGGACUUUUGUACCUGCAGUUCCCUGUUUGGAACACUCUCUUAGCCUCCCCUUUCCUUCUGGUUAACUCUUCCCCAGUUUAGACAUUACACCCUCUCAGAAGAAGCCUUUCCAGACUGCAAGAGUAGGUUAGCUACCCCUGCUGUAUAUUGCCAUAGUGCACUACACUCCACCAUGGUCACCCUUAUCACAGUUCAUUUCAUUGCCUACUCCACUGCCUGGCUUCCUGACUAAACUAAAAAAAUCUCUGAACAGCAUCCAACCUUAUCAACAAU